rnacentral:lncRNA from 1 species
UAACAAGAGCUAUAAAUGAGUCUCCGGUUGUAGAGACUUUAACAUAUGACACCAUAGGAUAAUGACUGACUAGCAAUUCUAGUCACUUAACCAUUACUGACUAGAAGUUAACUAAGCCAUCUUAAAAUGCGCCCAGGGACAGGCGCAGGCACACAUACUUCUGCAUGCAAGAGCAAAAUGAAUUCAAGUUGUCUUGCUUACUAAUUUCAGAUGUCACAGUGUAGGAGUGAACAUGUUUUCAACCUUUUAGGAUUCUUGAAGACCAGAUCACUACUCCUUAGACGUUGACAAACAAAUUAAGAAGAGAAGUUUAAGAUUUUUCAGACUUACCAUUUGAGUUGUUGUAUUGAAGUCCUAUGGCUUUUUAAAUGUUCCAUCUACUUAGUUGUGAAUGUUUUAAGCACCAACGUUAAUGUGAUUGCUAAGCACGGGCAUAUGUAAAAUUCUAUGUCUCCUUGCCAGUAGACUCUGGAUACUUACACUGUAAUUAAAUGGAGUCAGGUAUAGAUUUUGCCAGGUUUGGCAGACACGAUGCCUGCAUUUAAUCUGUGCCUCUCAAAACGUCCUGAUAGUAAACUAUUACUAUAAAUCAUUUUUAAUGAGACUAUUGAGUCAAACUUGAAAUCACCAGUUACCCAGUGUCAGGAAUAGUAUGAAUUUAGCUUCAUCUCUCAGUAGCUGGCUAAAUUUUGACAGCUAUCUGUUCAUAAGAAAAUAGAUACCCACACAUAAAUGCUAUAUGAUGUUUUUCUUCCUCCUAUGACACGGUUCAUAGCUGGUCUUUUUUCUGUAAUUCUUACAUAAGUUGUUAAGGAGUUUGAAUUUCCCAAAUAUUUUUGUUUGGUCAUGACUCGAUACAUAUUUGAAUAUCAUAAUUGUAUAUAUUUUUAAAGUAGAAUAAAUAAUGGAAAGCAACUUGAUACACGAGUUUAUACUGAAAUUCAACUGGAUAAAGAUAUGUUUUACAAUAUUGCUUAGCUAAUAAUCUGAACAUUCUUUUAUCUAUUAAAAAGCAUAGUUUGUGGCUUACAACUUUUCCCCUGGGCUAAGUAGUCACCUUUGACAAUACAGUGGACUGAAAAGCAGGUUACUGAAAGGUUUCAUUUAUAUCUCUGAACUAUCCAUUUUUUUUGUUUGAAUUUCUAAAUGUAAAAUCUAUGUUUAAAUAGGAUAAAGCUGACUGUUGACUUUUGUUUUCAAAAAUUAGACAAAUUAAUAUAUAAAUAAUUCAAAGGAUUUUUGUUUACUUUGAAAAAGAAUUUUCUCUGAAUUAAAGAUGGUUCCACAGGAUUACAGCAAUCAGUUCCAUGUAAAAUAAAAAGAAAAAAAUUCAGCAAAUUGCCUUCACUUGUUUCUCUCAGGAUUUAAUUCUUUCUUAAACUCCUUUGAAGACCAUAUAGCUUAUCCUGCUGUUAGGGUGGUCAGUGUUGCCAUGUCAACUUCAAUAGUUUCGGGUGUCAUGGGGAGACGGUGUUCUGAGAUUGCAAGGUGUAUAGAAACUAGCCAGGUGUGGUAGUGCAUGCCUUUAAUUCUAGCACUGGGAGGCAGAAGCAGGCGGAUCUCUAUGAGGCCAGCCUGGUCUACAGAGUAGGUUCCAGGACAGCCAGAAAGGAAAGG